GUGGGGAAUAUUGCGCAAUGGGCGAAAGCCUGACGCAGCAACGCCGCGUGCGGGAUGACGGCCUUCGGGUUGUAAACCGCUUUCAGCAGGGACGAAGGGUUUCUGACGGUACCUGCAGAAGAAGCACCGGCUAACUACGUGCCAGCAGCCGCGGUGAUACGUAGGGUGCGAGCGUUGUCCGGAAUUAUUGGGCGUAAAGAGCUUGUAGGCGGUCCGUUGCGUCGGAAGUGAAAACUCGGGGCUUAACCCCGAGCCUGCUUUCGAUACGGGCGGACUUGAGGGAUGUAGGGGAGAACGGAAUUCCUGGUGGAGCGGUGGAAUGCGCAGAUAUCAGGAGGAACACCAGUGGCGAAGGCGGUUCUCUGGACAUUUCCUGACGCUGAGAAGCGAAAGCGUGGGGAGCAAACAGGAUUAGAAACCCCGGUAGUCC
rnacentral:rRNA from 1 species